rnacentral:rRNA from 1 species
GGACGAACGCUGGCGGCGUGCUUACCCCAUGCAAGUCGAACGGAAAGGCCCUGCUUUUGUGGGGUGCUCGAGUGGCGAACGGGUGAGUAACACGUGAGUAACCUGCCCUUGACUUUGGGAUAACUUCAGGAAACUGGGGCUAAUACCGGAUAGGAGCUCCUGCUGCAUGGCGGGGGUUGGAAAGUUUCGGCGGUUGGGGAUGGACUCGCGGCUUAUCAGCUUGUUGGUGGGGUAGUGGCUUACCAAGGCUUUGACGGGUAGCCGGCCUGAGAGGGUGACCGGCCACAUUGGGACUGAGAUACGGCCCAGACUCCUACGGGAGGCAGCAGUGGGGAAUAUUGCACAAUGGGCGGAAGCCUGAUGCAGCAACGCCGCGUGCGGGAUGACGGCCUUCGGGUUGUAAACCGCUUUCGCCUGUGACGAAGCGUGAGUGACGGUAAUGGGUAAAGAAGCACCGGCUAACUACGUG